rnacentral:tRNA from 1 species
GCCUGGGUGGCUCAGUCAGUUAAGCAUCUGACUUCAGCUCAGGUCAUGAUCUCACACUCCGUGAGUUCAAGCCCCACGUCGGGCU